CUUUGAUUUACCUUUACCCUUGGAAGAAUCUUCACUUUUACCUUUAGAUUUUUCUUCCUGUUUAGCUUUGAUCUUAUUCUUAACUUUGCCUAUCGUAUCCUUAAUUUUGUCCUUAAUAUUACUUGGUUUAAUACUCACCGGUAUAAUAUUACUUGGUUUAAUACUCUCUGGUAUAAUAUUACUUGGUUUAAUACUCUCCGGUAUAACAUUACUUGGUUUAAUACUCUCUGGUAUGCCCAACAGAGAUAGGGAUGGCGAAGCUGCCGGAGCCGCCGCAACUUUUUUACUGCCGAGCCCUGCGGCUAGGACAGUAGUGGCUGCAAUAGCAGGUAAGAGAAUCGGACUGAAUAUGAUGAAAAGAGGGGUAGAUACGGCUAAUGCCACGGCUGAACCACUGAGUGUUACACCGGCGAAGCCUAAAUAGACUACGGACGCAACGGAAGCAACAACCAUC
rnacentral:lncRNA from 1 species